rnacentral:rRNA from 1 species
CCUACGGGUGGCAGCAGUGGGGAAUAUUGCGCAAUGGGCGAAAGCCUGACGCAGCGACGCCGCGUGAGGGAUGAAGGUCUUCGGAUCGUAAACCUCUGUCAGCAGGGAAGAACGGUCACUGUGCUAAUCAGCAGUGAAUUGACGUUACCUGCAAAGGAAGCACCGGAUAACUCCGUGCCAGCAGCCGCGGUAAUACGGAGGGUGCGAGCGUUAAUCGGAAUUACUGGGCGUAAAGCGCGCGUAGGCGGUAUGUCAAGUCAAGGGUGAAAUCCCCGCGCUCAACGUGGGAACUGCCUUUGAAACUGGCAGACUGGAGUGUGGGAGAGGUUGGUGGAAUUCCAGGUGUAGGGGUGAAAUCCGUAGAUAUCUGGAGGAACAUCAGUGGCGAAGGCGACUAUCUGGCACAUAACUGACGCUGAGGAGCGAAAGCGUGGGGAGCAAACAGGAUUAGAUACCCUUGUAGUC